rnacentral:rRNA from 1 species
UAGGGAAACUUCCGCAAUGGACGAAAGUCUGACGGAGCAACGCCGCGUGAGUGAAGAAGGAUUUCGGUUCGUAAAACUCUGUUGUUAGGGAAGAAUGAUUGUAUAGUAACUAUAUACAGUAGAGACGGUACCUAACCAGAAAGCCACGGCUAACUACGUGCCAGCAGCCGCGGUAAUACGUAGGUGGCAAGCGUUGUCCGGAAUUAUUGGGCGUAAAGCGCGCGCAGGUGGUUUAAUAAGUCUGAUGUGAAAGCCCACGGCUCAACCGUGGAGGGUCAUUGGAAACUGUUAAACUUGAGUGCAGGAGAGAAAAGUGGAAUUCCUAGUGUAGCGGUGAAAUGCGUAGAGAUUAGGAGGAACACCAGUGGCGAAGGCGGCUUUUUGGCCUGUAACUGACACUGAGGCGCGAAAGCGUGGGGAGCAAACAG